CUAAGAUAGUUUAAGAAAAAAAUAUUGAUUUGUGGAGUCAAAGAUUAAUUAUUAUUUUAGUUU
rnacentral:tRNA from 1 species